rnacentral:lncRNA from 1 species
CAGGCCUCCUCCCUCCCUCAUUGUCUCCCCUAACACCGUCACCUUCCCCCUUCUGCCGUCUCAGGAAGGGAAUGCAGACCGUGGGAGAUGCGAAGGGGUGGCGUAGGCCGGGCUGAAGAGCAAGUGUGGAAAUCGGAGUGGAACCCUUGGACGUGGGGAGAAUGCAGGACAGCUGGAGUGAAAGCUGGCAAGAAUGUAAGGAAGAAUGUGGGGGCGAAUGGGGGGUAGGAUUCACGUCAGGAUGGAAGGGUGUUCCCAUUCUCCUCUCCUCCUGCCUGUAUGAGCUGCUGUGGUGGAGUCUGAACUGUCCAUGCUCCCAUGGAGUCCAGCUCCAUGGGAGGACGCAGGUCUGUGUGUAGCUUUGUGGAGUCGUGGCUUUCUACUCCUGACACCAGCUGGGAGUCAACGGGCUCGGAAGCAAGGAGCAGGUGAGUGUAGGUGGUGAGUAAUUGUGGUGGAGGCAAAUAAGUAAGGUGGCUGACCUCCAAGAGGCUGGGGGGUUUCUUGCAGGGCAAGAGAUGUGCCUGGGUCUGCGGAUGCCGGUAGAGAGCCCUCUUCCCAAGACCCCACUGUGGAGUCUCCAUAGCCCAGAAGAAAAGUAGGCAGGGAGACUAUCACCAGAAUUUUGGUUUAGGGUGGGCUCUUGCCUGAUGUAGAGGAAGUGCUCCACCCAGAGAUUAGAGCAGCCCCAGGAGCCAGGCGACCGGGAUUCCUUCCUGCCACCAGCUGGGCCCUGACCUUGUGUGCCAUGACAUUGCCCACCCCCAGCCCUGAGCAUCCCGCUUCCGGCCUCUGCUAGACAGCAGUGCCUUGGGUUCCCUCUCUGUCAACUCCCGGAUCUCCCAGCCACAUUUCAGCUGCCAGGGCCUGGCCUAAGCAUUAGCCUCCCAAGUAUGACGCUUUGGUUAAAAAUCCACCAUGUGUGGGGUGCCUGGCUGGUUCAGUUGGUUAAGCUUCUGAUUCUUGAUUGCUGCUCAGGUCAUGACCUUGUGAGAUGGAGCCCCCCCCUCAGCGCGGACAGCACAGAGCCUGCUUGGGAUUCUCUCUCUCCUUCUGUCUCUGCCCCUCCCCUCCUCACGUGUUCUCUC